UUUAGAGGAAGUAAAAGUCGUAACAAGGUUUCCGUAGGUGAACCUGCGGAAGGAUCAUUAUUGAAAUAAACUUGAUAAGUUGAUGCUGGCUCUCUAGGGAGCAUGUGCACACUUGUCAUCUUUGUAUCUCCACCUGUGCACUUUUUGUAGACCUUGGGUAUCUCUCUGAUUGCUUUUUUAGCACUCAGGAUUUGAGGAUUGACUUUCUGUCUCUUCUUACAUUUCCAGGUCUAUGUUUCUUCAAUUACCCUGAUGUAUGUUUAUAGAAUGUAGUCAAAUGGGCCUUUGUGCCUAUAAAUUGAUACAACUUUCAGCAACGGAUCUCUUGGCUCUCGCAUCGAUGAAGAACGCAGCGAAAUGCGAUAAGUAAUGUGAAUUGCAGAAUUCAGUGAAUCAUCGAAUCUUUGAACGCACCUUGCGCUCCUUGGUAUUCCGAGGAGCAUGCCUGUUUGAGUGUCAUUAAUAUAUCAACCUUUUAGGUUGGAUGUGGGUUUGCUGGCCACUUUUGAGGUCAACUUCCCUUAAAUGCAUUAGCGGACAACAUUUUGCCAAAUGUUCAUUGGUGUGAUAAUUAUCUACGCUUUUGACAUUUAAGCAUGGUUCAGCUUCUAACAGUCCAUUGACUUGGACAAAUUUAUUAAUGUGACCUCAAAUCAGGUAGGACUACCCGCUGAACUUAAGCAUAUCAAUAAGCGGAGGAAAAGAAACUAACAAGGAUUCCCCUAGUAACUGCGAGUGAAGCGGGAAAAGCUCAAAUUUAAAAUCUGGCAGUCUUUGGCUGUCCGAGUUGUAAUCUAGAGAAGCAUUAUCCGCGCUGGACCGUGUACAAGUCUCCUGGAAUGGAGCGUCAUAGAGGGUGAGAAUCCCGUCUUUGACAYGGACUACCAGGGCUUUGUGAUGUGCUCUCAAAGAGUCGAGUUGUUUGGGAAUGCAGCUCAAAAUGGGUGGUAAAUUCCAUCUAAAGCUAAAUAUUGGCGAGAGACCGAUAGCGAACAAGUACCGUGAGGGAAAGAUGAAAAGAACUUUGGAAAGAGAGUUAAACAGUACGUGAAAUUGCUGAAAGGGAAACGCUUAAAGUCAGUCGCGUUGUCCAGGGAUCAACUCUUGCUUUUGCUUGGUGUAUUUUCUGGUCAAUGGGUCAGCAUCAAUUUUGACCAUUGGAAAAAGAUCAAGGGAAUGUAGCAUCUUUUAGAUGUGUUAUAGCCUUUGGUUGCAUACAUUGGUUGGGAUUGAGGAACUCAGCACGCCGCAAGGCCGAGUUUUUUUAACUACGUACGUGCUUAGGAUGCUGGCAUAAUGGCUUUAAUCGACCCGUCUUGAA
rnacentral:rRNA from 1 species